GUCUCGUUGGGCAGACUGUUAAACAUUUUUAGAACUUGCGCAUCAAUAGGUUAAAAUGCCAGAUGGCGUAGUAGCAAGACGCAUUUGUUUUUGUCCCGUGUAAAUAUUCAGCCUUUUCCGUUUUUCUGUAUACAUUUCAAUCUCUUUUCCCAUUUUCAAAUUAAAUAUAUCUUUCUGCAACCCGCCUCACCCAAGGUGGUACGGAUCUAUUUUUUUUUUAGACCUUAUAACUGGAAACUCCAUUAGCAGCUAGCCAGCUAAUUAGCUACUAGCUAUUUUGUCAUUGUUAGCCACUGCUAGCGGCCUUUACCUUUAGCACAGACACCAGCCGCUUUAGCCCGGAUUGUAUCUGCCAGUCUGCACAGCGUGAUGUCAGCCCUGAGCAUGUCAGACUGCUAUUCUUUUUUUCCCACUGCCUCACUGGAUUACUGCCGCAAGCUCUGGACCAUUACACCGGAUCAUCGCAGCUAGCUAGCUGCUACAGAGCGGCUAUCGUGGCUAAUGCCUUUGUCCAGAAGCAAGCACCAGUUAGCCUCGAGCUAGGCCUAUUCCCACGGCUCGCAAACGAAGUACACCAACUACAAUAGCUCUCUUGUCAAUUGAUCUGGACCCUUUGUCGACACGGUGCCCGCCGAUCCAUCACGACUGGUCUGCUGACGUAUUUCGGCCGAUGUGCUCUCAACCGGCCUCUGCAUCGUUGAAGACCCAGCUGCUAGCCCCGGCCUGCUAGCUCUCUGAACGCCCUGUCUCCCGCUCACCUAGCGUAGUAACGACUACAGAAUGGCUCCGUUUCAUCCAUUAACCUCUGUCUCAGACGACUAGAAUUAAGUCUGAGGCCGGUAACAUCAACAGUGAAGACAAACCCAGCCUGCCUCUCUCCUUCCACACUGAGUCCAAACCUACAGUCACUGGGUCCUGAUUGUGACAGUGGAGCCCAGUUUGCACUGCAGGAUCCAGAGAUGGCAUCAGUGAAGCUGGAAGACUGCAGUCAAACACUGGAGCUGAAUGUCAACAUUAAAGAUGAAGAUUGGGAAAUCUGUUUCUCAUGGAGACCGUGUUGAGACAUUCUCUACAUCCAGAGAGCAACAGCAGGAAGAUCACAGAGCUAAGAGGUCUCACCACUGCCCACAUUGUGAGGAGAUUUUCCCAUUUCUAUCAAAGCUA